rnacentral:rRNA from 1 species
GCCAGACUCCUACGGGAGGCAGCAGUGGGGGAUAUUGCACAAUGGGCGCAAGCCUGAUGCAGCGACGCCGCGUGAGCGAAGAAGUAUUUCGGUAUGUAAAGCUCUAUCAGCAGGGAAGAAAAUGACGGUACCUGACUAAGAAGCUCCGGCUAAAUACGUGCCAGCAGCCGCGGUAAUACGUAUGGAGCAAGCGUUAUCCGGAAUUACUGGGUGUAAAGGGAGCGUAGGCGGCAAGGCAAGUCUGAUGUGAAACCCCGGGGCUCAACCCCGGGCAUGCAUUGGAAACUGGCGGGCUGGAGUGCCGGAGAGGUAAGCGGAAUUCCUAGUGUAGCGGUGAAAUGCGUAGAUAUUAGGAGGAACACCGGCGGCGAAGGCGGCCUGCUGGACCGUAACUGACGUUGAGGCUCGAAAGCGUGGGGAGCAAACAGGAUUAGAUACCCCCGUAU